UGCUUACUGACACUGUUUAGUGCACCUAAGAUGGUGAUGACGGCUUAAAAACGUUAGAUAACAAGAUAACAAGGGGGAAAAAAAGGAUGCAAUAAGAAAAGACAGUCCGGCCAGGUGCGGUGGCUCAUGCCUGGAAUCCCAGCACUUCGGGCGGGCAAGGCAGGUGGAUCACUUGAGGUCAGGAGUUCAAGACCAGCCUGGCCAACAUGGUGAAACUCGUCUCUACUAAAAAUACAAAAAUUAGCCAGAUGUGGCGGCAGGCGCCCAUAGUCCCAGCUCCUCAGGAGGCUGAGGCAUGAGAAUUGCUUUAAUCUAGGAGGUGGAGGUUGCAGUGAGCUGAGAUCAUGCCACUGCACUCCAGGCUGAGGAGUAGAGCAAGACUCUGCCUCCAAAAAAAAAAAAAAGAGAGAGAGAGAAAUGACUUAAUCCAAAAGGAGGCAAGAAAGGAGAGAAUAGGGGGCAGCAAGAGGCGGGACACAGGCGGCUCUAUGAUGGGACAUGGUGAUGCCUGGACUCCCCCCAGCAGAUGCCCAGACGCCCGCCGGCAGAUGCCCGGACGCCCGCUGGCAGAUGCCCUGAUGCCUGCCAGCAGGGCCACACCCGAUGCUCCACAUGCCCCUCUGCCUUGUGUGGGUCAAACUCCUCCCACUGGGUGCUGGGCUCCCAGGUGUGGGUCUGGGUGUGCGUCUGGGGGCAGAGUGCACAUUCAUGUUCAUGUUCUCAGCACACCCACAGCCCCCUCCCACCAGGUGGGGCCCAUACCUGCUGCCUUCAUGUCUCCAGGGCCUGGCAUGGAGCAGGAGGCCCUGGGCAUGGAGCUGAGAGCUGUGUUGUGGACCCAGAGUUCUGUGAGGCCGUGGAGGGUGGAUGUGGGUCUGCCCUGCCUGGCCCACUCCUCCUCCACACUGCCCUUCACAGUGCAUGAUCAGGCAGCUGGGGCCCUGCAAGACUGCAGGGCCUGGGGCUGCUGCACAGAGAUGGGGUGCUGGGCUCCUAGGGAGCUCAAGGGUCUGCAGGGACGGGGCUGCCAGG
rnacentral:lncRNA from 13 species